rnacentral:lncRNA from 1 species
ACUAUCUCUCUUCAUCUCUCCUCUCUAUCUCUCGUUCACUCUUUUUUUUUUCUUCGAAAUUAACCACCACCAGAUCUGAAAAUAACAUGAGAGACGGCGCGAUGAGAGCAGCGGCGUUGCAGGAAUCACGGUGGGGAACGGCGGUCUGCGUGGCUUCACAUCGUCGGAGCACCACCCGUUCUUCUCCGCCACCCGAUUCACAAUUUCUUCCCGUGGUGCAUCGGUGGAAGACGUGAAGCGACGGCGGCGCGGCGGUAGCCCAGAAGAAGCCGAAGAUCGGCAAGAAGAUAACAUCGGCAAGGAGAAUCGCCGAAAGGAGAUCGACGACGAUUACGAGGAGAACGGGAUCCAUAGUCCGUUGCACGAGAUCGCGUUCCAGGUAAACAACUCCCCUGGUGAUAAUCUGGCGUAAGUCUUUUUUUCGUCAUAUUUAAUUAAAUUAUUAUUUUCUCUGAAUUUUCGUGUUCCAAUUGUUCAAUAUAUACAUUAAUAAAAUGAAUGCAGAGGAAAAAUGGAGAGAGAAAGAUGAUUUUGAGAGGGUAUUCUCAUAAAUUAACCCUCUCUGUUCAAUCAAGGCUAUGCAUAUUUAAUCAAUUACAUGUUCGCCUAUUUUCUCAUUGUUGAUUGAAGUUGUGGCUAUGGCUGCUGCCUUUUAUUACUUAUGUUUAUAGUUUUAAUUUCCGAGUCCAUGGUUAAGGUACAACUAUAAGAACAGGGAUUUGAGUGCCUCCAAGAUGUGGUGGGAGUUCAAAUUCCAAUUGCACCUAACAUAAUCAAAAUUAGUCACAUGUAGUAACAAAAAGCACAUAAUUAUAUGAGACUAUAGUUGACUACAUGAGAUUAUAGUUUACUAAAUUAAAUUUAGGGUUAAAUACAGUUUGCACCCCUGUACUAUCACCAUCGUCGCAUUUACCCCCCUGUACUAUGAAAUGCGACAAAACAACCCCUCAUUUUAACAGUCAACUCUCACGUCUUUAACGACGUUAGUUUCAUCAGUGAAACUACCUUUUUACCCUUACCACUACGACCAAGUGAAUGAAAAAAAGCUUCUGCAACUUCUGACAUUGGCUAAAUUUCUACAAACUGUACAAAACUCUCUUCUUCGCCCAAAAUUCUCUCCGAUGAGUGACUUCAUAAUUGCUCAUUUCUUCGGGUGUCAUCACAAUUGUAAAAAUCCUCAUUUUCAUUUUGGUUGAAGUUUAUGAUAUGGGCAGUGAAGCAUUUCCCAUGGUAAAGUGGAGAUAAAAAAAAAAAAGGACGGUAAGGAUCACAAACCAUGAUUGGGGGCUAAAUUAGUGAUGUACGUUUCUUGGGCUCAGGGGUAUGACACCGAAGGAGAGAGGAAUUGAUUUGGGGAGCUCCAAAUCGAAGGGUCUCCUCCAUCAAUUUCAUUUUGCCGUUGCAACAACCACAACCGCAACUGAUGGUGUUGUUUCCUGCAGCGUGAAAAGCAAAGAUCCAAACGUGAUUGAAGAUAAGGUUUGAAGAAUCAUCCAAAAACAAAUUUUAUUAAACCACACAUCCCAAGAAAUUGGAUGUUUAUCAAACCCAUUUUUCUAUUAAGCUUACAAUAGGGUGUAAAUUUUAUUUCAUAUUUUUUUUAUAUCAUUUCAAUUUUGCAUUUCUCUAUUAAGCUUACAAUUACAUAUUAUAGAAUUUAAUAACAAUUACAUAUUAUAGAAUUUGAUUGAACAAAAAAUAAAUGAUUUUGCGGAAAAAAGAGAAUUUUUUUAUAAAACAAAUUUCAUAUAAAAUGGCUUUUUUUAUAAUUUAAAGAUCAGGAAUAAUUUUUUUUAUGGCUUUAUAAGAUUUUCAAAUAAUUAUAUAUUAUACAUUUUAUGCAAAUAUUAUAAUUAAGUAUUUCAUUUGUUUUUUUGGUAAUUGUUUUGUCGGUUCUGAAGUAGUAGAACUCUUCUUGCAUUUCUUUUGUUCUGCAUCUAUUUAUUUGAAGGGUAAAACUGUCUUUAAAAAAAAAGAGUUGUUGUCAAUGCGCCACGUCAUCCUUAGGGGAUAGAAGAACUAACGGUUGCUAACAGUAGGGGUUAUUUUGUCGCAUUUGAUAGUUCAGGGGGGUAAAUGCGACAGUGACUAUAGUACAGGGGUGCAAAGUGUAUUAAACCCUUAAAUUUAUCAAAAGUAGAAAUGGCUUUUGUGUGUGAUUUUAAUUUUAUUAAUAAUUUUAGUUGUUGUGUUUGAUUAUUUUUUUUUCCUGCAAUCAAUUUUUUGGUGAAUUUUAUCUAUGGUGUUCCACUUCAACUUGCUUUGAUCUUUGACCUUUGGUUAUACGAAGAAUAAUGACUAGCAUACUUUGUUUGUAAUUUGAUUUUGAUAAUAUAAGCUGUCUCGUAUCGCCUGGAGAACAAAGUUAGGUACUUGAAGGGACAAAUAAAGUCACAUACAUGUAUAUAGUCACGUGUGGUCAUAUACAUGUAGUCAUAUAUAGUCAUGUGUAGUAACAUACAGUAAUAUAUGGUGUAGUCACAUAUAGUAAUAUAUAGUCACGUGUAGUAACAUACAGUAAUAUAUGGUGUAGUCACAUAUAGUAAUAUAUAGUCACGUGUAGUAACAUACAGUAAUAUAUGGUGUAGUCACAUGUAGUAAUAUAUAGUUAUAUAUAAACUAUGUAGUCAUGUAUGAGUUAUGUGGGGAGUAUCUAUGUGUAGGUGAUAGUGCGUGUGUGCACAUUUAAAUUUGAAGCAAAAUUCGUUAUUUGUUUAACUCUUUUUCUUUUUCACAGGUCUUGGUGUUUGAACUACAAUGUAGUAAGUUUUUUCACAGAUCUUGGUGUUUGAACUACUAUGUAGUAAGUUUUUGCGGAGUGGAUUGUGUUCGUUGUUCAAAACAAGCGGUUCUCGUGUUGACAAGUGCGAUUUGAGUCAAAUUUAAUCGUAUAGAUAAUUGUAGUCAUGU